rnacentral:rRNA from 1 species
AUGGAUAGGAGUUGGAUGCGAGCAGCAAGGUCUUCCGCCGAGUAUUCUGAAGGAACUAGCAACUUCAUACAAUUUGCUUUCCGUGAGUCAGCAAAAAAUAGUAGGAUUCUCUGCCCUUGCAAGAUAUGUGUAAACUCUCGUUGGUUAGGUGAGCAUGAAGUCUAUGAUCAUUUGAUUUGCGAUGGAUUCAUGUCCGGAUAUACCAUAUGGAUUCACCAUGGAGAAAGUAUGCGGCCCUCCGAAGCAAUUACUGCUCCUAGUUCACAGUUUGAAGAAUAUGCUGAUAGUGAUGAGAUGGAUGAGAUGCUACUAGAAGGAUUUGGAAUGUACGAUACUCAUACUUUAGGAGAGGAGCAAGAGUCUGAAGAUGAUUUGGACGAUGAUGCUGAGGCAUACUAUAGAUUAGUUAAUGAUGGACACCAAGAGUUGUACCCAGGUUGCAAAAGAUUCUCGAAGCUGCAAUUUUUGGUGAGGUUGCUUCAUAUCAAGAAUAUGAGGGGAAUGAGCAAUGUAUGCUUUGAUGAGGUAUUGACGCUAAUUAAGGAGGCACUUCCAGAAGGUCAGGCGUUGCCCAAAAAUUUUCAUGGGGCCAAAAAGUUUAUGAAAGCCAUUGGUAUUGGAUAUGAUAGUAUAGAUGCAUGCAAAAACGAUUGCAUUCUAUUUAGGAAGGAACAUGCUGAUGCCAUAUCAUGUCCAGUGUGUGGCACAAGUAGAUGGAAGAGCGUAAAUACUGGAGUUGAUGGAAGGCGUGUCCACAAGGUGCCUCAAAAGGUGGUUCGUCAUUUCCCGCUAAAGAAGAGACUCCAAAGGUUGUUCGCUUCUACAAAGACGACAUCAGAUAUGAGGUGGCACAGCGAAGGCCGCACAAAGGACGGCUUGAUACGACACCCAGCUGGUUCACCUGCAUGGAAACACUUUGAUGCUAUUCACAAAGACUUCAGUUCAGAAGUUUGCAAUGUUAGAUUUGGAUUGGGAGCUGAUGGUUUCAACCCUUUUGGAAAUAUGAAUCUCUCAUAUAGCAUAUGGCCUAUCGUCUUGAUCCCCUACAACCUUCCUCCAUGGAUUUGUAUGAAGCAAUCAAACUUUAUCCUCUCUAUCAUCAUUCCUGGUAAAAAAUCUCCAGGGAAAGACAUGGAUGUUUACAUGCAGCUGACCAUAGAUGAUCUUUUGGAGCUUUGGAAUGAUGGAGUCUGGACUUAUGAUGCCUCUCGAUCUAAGAAGUUUCUCUUACGUGCCGCACUACUAUGGACAAUAAGUGAUUGGCCUGGGCGUGGAUCUUUGUCUGGAGAAAAUAUAGCAGUUUGCUCCCAUUGUCUAUCAGAGACAUGCUCUCUUUGGUUAAAGAAUGGACACAAGAAAUGCUAUAUGGGACAUCGCAGAUUCUUGGAACCUAAUCACGAGUUUCGAUUUGAUGCUGAGUCAUUUGAUGGUUUUGAGGAACAUCGAGAGCCUCCCGUUCCCCUUUCAUCACAUGACAUUUCAGUAUUGACAAAGGACAUGAAAACUACGUAUGGGAAGCUGCAGCAGAAGAGCAGCAGGAAGCGACACCGUAAUCAGGUAGAUGAGAAUGAUGCAAGCAUGCAGCAAGACACUUCAAUAUUCAGAAAGAGAAGUUGCUUCUUUCAGCUGCCAUACUGGGAAACACUUCUAUUGCGUCAUAAUCUGGAUCCUAUGCACAUAGAGAAGAAUGUGUUUGAGAACAUGGUGAUGAAACUGAAUCGGAAGAUGAAGAAGGUGAGUCUGGACAAGAAGAUGAACAUGAAGAAGAAGAGGAAGUUCGACAAGAACAGGAGAAAACACAUGAAGUUGUAG